rfam:Macaca mulatta chromosome 9, whole genome shotgun sequence.
GUCUAUAGCCAUACCAUCCUGCAUACGCCCGAUCUCACCUGAUCUUGGAAGCUAAACAGUGUCAGGCCUGGUUAGUACUUGGAAGGGAGAAAUAGAAAUAGUAGCAUUCUUGUCU